GGUGGAAACGGAUAGAGUUGACGUAUCUAGCACGUAUUCAACUGUUGAUUGUGCGUUUGGUGUGGUGUUUGGCGGUGCUGUUGGCCGAGUUUUUGGUCCGACGAUCGCUCAUCGCAUUGCUUUGAGCGUCUUUCAGCGGUGCAUUUACGGGCUUAUGUGCGCUGGAACUUGCGCGUGGAUUGUUGGAUAGUUGUUUUCUUGUUAGAGGAUAUGCGUUUCGGCGUGUAAAACCGAACCGACUAAAAGGCAAUUCCGUGUGCAUGUUGUAUUGUAUGAGUUGAAGGUUUUCAAAACGAGCACGGUUGUCAUUGAGUUUGUGGUGUGUGGCGGUCGCUUGCGACACGUAUACGCUUGACGAGCUCGGUGUAUGGCUUGUGUUUCACUUUGCUCUAUUCCAGUGUAAAAGUCGAUCAUCUAUCCGACCCGUCUUGAAACACGGACCAAGGAGUUUAACGUAUGCGCGAGUCAUUGGGUGAUGAAAACCUAUAGGCGUAAUGAAAGUGAAAGCGUUCUCGAAACGCGUUGAUAUGCGAUCCCGGCGCACUCUAGGGUGUGUGGGCGCAGCAUAGCCCCAUUCCCGUUGCAUGCAAUGGAGUGGAGGAAGAGCGUAUGCGUUGAGACCCGAAAGAUGGUGAACUAUGCCUGAGCAGGACGAAGCCAGAGGAAACUCUGGUGGAAGUCCGAAUCGGUUCUGACGUGCAAAUCGAUCGUCUGACUUGGGUAUAGGGGCGAAAGACUAAUCGAACUAUC
rnacentral:rRNA from 1 species